CACACCGCCCGUCACAUCACGAAAGUUAGUUGCUCUUGAAGUCGUCCGGCCAACCGCAAGGAGGCAGACGCCGACGGAGUGACUGGCGAUUGGGGUG
rnacentral:rRNA from 1 species